AGCGUACACGGUGGAUGCCCUGGCAGUCAGAGGCGAUGAAGGACGUGCUAAUCUGCGAUAAGCGUCGGUAAGGUGAUAUGAACCGUUAUAACCGGCGAUUUCCGAAUGGGGAAACCCAGUGUGAUUCGUCACACUAUCAUUAACUGAAUCCAUAGGUUAAUGAGGCGAACCGGGGGAACUGAAACAUCUAAGUACCCCGAGGAAAAGAAAUCAACCGAGAUUCCCCCAGUAGCGGCGAGCGAACGGGGAGCAGCCCAGAGCCUGAAUCAGUGUGUGUGUUAGUGGAAGCGUCUGGAAAGGCGUGCGAUACAGGGUGACAGCCCCGUACACAAAAAUGCACAUGCUGUGAGCUCGAUGAGUAGGGCGGGACACGUGGUAUCCUGUCUGAAUAUGGGGGGACCAUCCUCCAAGGCUAAAUACUCCUGACUGACCGAUAGUGAACCAGUACCGUGAGGGAAAGGCGAAAAGAACCCCGGCGAGGGGAGUGAAAAAGAACCUGAAACCGUGUACGUACAAGCAGUGGGAGCACAGAGCAAUCUGUGUGACUGCGUACCUUUUGUAUAAUGGGUCAGCGACUUAUAUUCUGUAGCAAGGUUAACCGAAUAGGGGAGCCGAAGGGAAACCGAGUCUUAACUGGGCGUUAAGUUGCAGGGUAUAGACCCGAAACCCGGUGAUCUAGCCAUGGGCAGGUUGAAGGUUGGGUAACACUAACUGGAGGACCGAACCGACUAAUGUUGAAAAAUUAGCGGAUGACUUGUGGCUGGGGGUGAAAGGCCAAUCAAACCGGGAGAUAGCUGGUUCUCCCCGAAAGCUAUUUAGGUAGCGCCUCGUGAAUUCAUCUCCGGGGGUAGAGCACUGUUUCGGCAAGGGGGUCAUCCCGACUUACCAACCCGAUGCAAACUGCGAAUACCGGAGAAUGUUAUCACGGGAGACACACGGCGGGUGCUAACGUCCGUCGUGAAGAGGGAAACAACCCAGACCGCCAGCUAAGGUCCCAAAGUCAUGGUUAAGUGGGAAACGAUGUGGGAAGGCCCAGACAGCCAGGAUGUUGGCUUAGAAGCAGCCAUCAUUUAAAGAAAGCGUAAUAGCUCACUGGUCGAGUCGGCCUGCGCGGAAGAUGUAACGGGGCUAAACCAUGCACCGAAGCUGCGGCAGCGACGCUUAUGCGUUGUUGGGUAGGGGAGCGUUCUGUAAGCCUGCGAAGGUGUGCUGUGAGGCAUGCUGGAGGUAUCAGAAGUGCGAAUGCUGACAUAAGUAACGAUAAAGCGGGUGAAAAGCCCGCUCGCCGGAAGACCAAGGGUUCCUGUCCAACGUUAAUCGGGGCAGGGUGAGUCGACCCCUAAGGCGAGGCCGAAAGGCGUAGUCGAUGGGAAACAGGUUAAUAUUCCUGUACUUGGUGUUACUGCGAAGGGGGGACGGAGAAGGCUAUGUUGGCCGGGCGACGGUUGUCCCGGUUUAAGCGUGUAGGCUGGUUUUCCAGGCAAAUCCGGAAAAUCAAGGCUGAGGCGUGAUGACGAGGCACUACGGUGCUGAAGCAACAAAUGCCCUGCUUCCAGGAAAAGCCUCUAAGCAUCAGGUAACAUCAAAUCGUACCCCAAACCGACACAGGUGGUCAGGUAGAGAAUACCAAGGCGCUUGAGAGAACUCGGGUGAAGGAACUAGGCAAAAUGGUGCCGUAACUUCGGGAGAAGGCACGCUGAUAUGUAGGUGAAGCGACUUGCUCGUGGAGCUGAAAUCAGUCGAAGAUACCAGCUGGCUGCAACUGUUUAUUAAAAACACAGCACUGUGCAAACACGAAAGUGGACGUAUACGGUGUGACGCCUGCCCGGUGCCGGAAGGUUAAUUGAUGGGGUCAGCGCAAGCGAAGCUCUUGAUCGAAGCCCCGGUAAACGGCGGCCGUAACUAUAACGGUCCUAAGGUAGCGAAAUUCCUUGUCGGGUAAGUUCCGACCUGCACGAAUGGCGUAAUGAUGGCCAGGCUGUCUCCACCCGAGACUCAGUGAAAUUGAACUCGCUGUGAAGAUGCAGUGUACCCGCGGCAAGACGGAAAGACCCCGUGAACCUUUACUAUAGCUUGACACUGAACAUUGAGCCUUGAUGUGUAGGAUAGGUGGGAGGCUUUGAAGUGUGGACGCCAGUCUGCAUGGAGCCGACCUUGAAAUACCACCCUUUAAUGUUUGAUGUUCUAACGUUGACCCGUGAUCCGGGUUGCGGACAGUGUCUGGUGGGUAGUUUGACUGGGGCGGUCUCCUCCUAAAGAGUAACGGAGGAGCACGAAGGUUGGCUAAUCCUGGUCGGACAUCAGGAGGUUAGUGCAAUGGCAUAAGCCAGCUUGACUGCGAGCGUGACGGCGCGAGCAGGUGCGAAAGCAGGUCAUAGUGAUCCGGUGGUUCUGAAUGGAAGGGCCAUCGCUCAACGGAUAAAAGGUACUCCGGGGAUAACAGGCUGAUACCGCCCAAGAGUUCAUAUCGACGGCGGUGUUUGGCACCUCGAUGUCGGCUCAUCACAUCCUGGGGCUGAAGUAGGUCCCAAGGGUAUGGCUGUUCGCCAUUUAAAGUGGUACGCGAGCUGGGUUUAGAACGUCGUGAGACAGUUCGGUCCCUAUCUGCCGUGGGCGCUGGAGAACUGAGGGGGGCUGCUCCUAGUACGAGAGGACCGGAGUGGACGCAUCACUGGUGUUCGGGUUGUCAUGCCAAUGGCACUGCCCGGUAGCUAAAUGCGGAAGAGAUAAGUGCUGAAAGCAUCUAAGCACGAAACUUGCCCCGAGAUGAGUUCUCCCUGACUCCUUGA
rnacentral:rRNA from 1 species